UCUCUUUAAUCACAAAAAUGGAAUGUUCUUCUUCGUUGAAGCUUCUAUCAUCUUCUCCAGCUCCUAUUUUCAACUUCCAGGUGAACUUGAUAGAAGUAGGGUGCUUUGUGGGUGCAAGUGCAAGACAUAAGUGUUAGGCAUUAGGUUCCCUAGGUUAGAUUCCGAGGCUGUCUGUUUAAGAUGCUCUGAGCAGUUUUCAUUCUCUUCCUGAGACGGCCAGCAUAGGAGUGUUUCCUUUAUUCAUUCAUGCCAACGUGCAUUUGCUAUAAGUUUCUAUAUGUUCGUCUAAACCAUCUUGUCCUUGUAAAGAUGGUUUAUCUUUGAAUUGCAGUGUAAAUCAUCUUCUGUGAAGAAAGAAUUGUCUAGAAGAACGUUAUGUACAUCAGUGCCAUCCUUGUCACUUGGUAAAUCAUUUCUUCAACUUCAGAAUAGACAAGAUCUCUUUAUUUACCAGAAGCAGUCAUUUUAUAAACCUAGAAGAUUAAUUAAAGGUCAAAUAUAUGCUGCAACGGGUAAUCAACCUUGGGACCUUGGUAGAUUUGUGAAAACAUUGUUCUUCUUUGAUGCAGUUCCGUCUCCUUUAAAGUUCAUUGAAUCUCUAGUUGAUAAGCUGUCUGGCCAACCAUCAACUGAGCCAGUAGGGAAAAUGGAAUCUUCUGGGAUAGUUCUUGUUGUUGGAGCAACUGGAGGUGUCGGUAGAAGGGUAGUUGAUGUUUUACAAAAUACAGGACUGCCAGUUCGAGUAUUGGUUAGAAAUGAAGAAAAGGCAAGGCGAAUGUUAGGCCCAGAUAUCGACUUGGUUGUUGGUGACAUCACCAAGGAAAACACUCUACCUCUUGAAUACUUCAAAGGAGUCAAGAAAGUGAUUAAUGCUGCCUCUGUCAUUGUUGGCCCAAAAGAAGGGGAUACUCCUGACAGAGCAAAAUACAGCCAAGGCAUCAAGUUUUUUGAGCCAGAGAUAAAAGGUGAUUCACCUGAAAUGGUGGAGUAUAUAGGCAUGAGAAAUUUAGUCAAUGCUGUAAAAGGGUGCGUUGGACUAAAGGAAGGGAAAUUGCUUUUUGGAGUGGAAGGAAAUUCAUUUAGGGAUCUUCCCUGGGGUGCUUUAGAUGAUGUUGUGAUGGGAGGAGUUAGUCAGAGUACAUUUGAAAUUGACCCUAAAGGAGGUGAAAAUGGUGGGGCAGCUGGGAUUUUCAGAGGAAAUGUAUCUACCGCCAAUAAUGGUGGUUUCACUAGUGUGAGAACAAGAAAUUUUGCGGUGCCCGAGGAUCUUUCAGCUUAUGAUGGUUUGGAGCUACGACUUAAAGGUGACGGUCGUAGAUAUAAACUCAUUAUUCGCACUAGCAGUGAUUGGGAUACUGUAGGUUAUACAGCAGGUUUUGACACAAUGGAGGGACAAUGGCAAUCAAUAAAAGUACCAUUCUCCUCAUUAAGGCCUAUAUUCAGAGCCCGGACAGUCUCCGACGCUCCGCCCUUUGAUGCACGCAAUAUUAUCUCACUGCAGCUAAUGUUCAGUAAGUUUGAAUAUGAUGGAAAACUGAAUCCAACUUUUGUAGAAGGCCCUUUCCAGCUUCCUCUGUCAGCAAUAAGGGCAUACAUGCAAGAACCAAUUGCACCAAGAUUUGUCCAUGUGAGCUCUGCAGGAGUUACCCGCCCUGAUAGGCCUGGACUUGAUCUGAGUACGCAGCCUCCUGCUGUCCGUUUGAACAAGGAACUAGACUUCAUUCUCACAUACAAACUGAAGGGAGAAGAUUUGUUGCGUGAGAGUGGAAUCCCUUAUGCAAUUGUUAGGCCUUGUGCAUUGACAGAAGAACCUGCUGGAGCAGAUCUUAUAUUUGACCAGGGGGAUAAUAUCACGGGAAAAAUAUCCAGGGAAGAGGUAGCUCGAGUAUGUGUUGCUGCUUUAGAGAGUCCACAUGCAUGCAACAAGACAUUUGAGGUGAAAAGCGCUGUUCCUUUCAGUGAGCCAUUCACAGUUGACCCUAACAACCCGCCUCCAGAAAAGGAUUAUGAAGUUUUCUUUAAGAUAUUGAAGGAAGGAAUUACUGGGAAAGAACUCCUGGAACAAAAAACAGUCUCAACUGUGUGAUCUCUACUUUUAGUGUUUUACAAUGGUAUACCAGACUGUCUCAAGCCGUAUAAGUGAAGUGUAGUUAGCUGUACUGAAGCAAUCAGAAUAAGCUGAGGACAAAAUUCGAUUUACAUGAUCAGCUAAAACAUGUCCAGCAAAUGGUUUAUGAUUAGCUGAAGUGUCAGUUGUGACUCCAUGACUUGUAUGCAUGUACAGCUCUAUCUGCCAAGGGGAAAGGGAACCCGAGCAGACCAGAUUCGUCAGGCAACUUGAUUCUGUCCAAUGGUCUAUAGUUUUUCCCUAGCUUGCGUAUAAAUAAUCACUACCUUGUGAAGCAUUAUUGCAUUACAAAUAAUACUUAGCAAUGAAUAGCUAGAUGUAGUGGUCAUUGUAACUUGAAAGAACCACAGCGUGAAUAUAUGAAAACACACUCAGCAAACUUGUAUAUCGGUAUAUGUAUGUAUGGAGUAUCUGGUUUGCUGAAAACUUCUGUACACUAUCUCUCUAUCCAGACAUUCCACGGUCCGAGUCCACUACAAGUCAUGCAUCUCAAUUCUGAGGUUAAUUUAGUGAAUAUUAACAUUGGCAUUCA